CCUACGGCAGUGCAGUGUAUUAACCCCUACAGUGCGAUAUAAGUGGGGACAUGUGAGGGUACGGCACAAUAAAAUCAAUUUUUAAAUGGUACUACAUCAUUUCAAAGUAGAUGUCAAAGCAUGCAUGAACAUGCUAGGGACAUCAAGGGGUGAUGAUGUUGCAUUGAACAUGAAAGUGUUUGUCGUACUUACCUUUGCUGCAGUACU